AGAAAGCUUCCACCGCCUCCAUCAUGUUUGCUUUUGGAAAUCUUCACCUUGAAAUGCUUCUCCUAUAGGUGAAAAACACCAUACCCUGGUUGGCUGAGUUUCUCGGAGUAAUGGAGUACAGAAGGAUUUUUUGUGCUAAACAUAUGGGUCUUUUCCACUGAGAGUUGAGUUGGCAUCCAGUUGUAGAAGGGAUGGAGAUUGGGAGAUGCUCAGACCCGCGAAUAACUGGAUGUAUCCAAUUUCUUCAGCCGCAUGCAUUGAAUACAUGACUAAGUGACCCCCAACUCUUCUGAGAAAGCUUCUUUGUUGGCAGGUGUAGAUAGGCUAAAUAUGUAUUUCUUGUUUUUGUGUAGGUGUUCUACUUAUAAAUUAGUAGUAUGUACACCCUUUUUUCAUUAGCCUUACCAAUCUAUUUAGCUACUACUAUCCUUAAGUAAGGACACUGCUGCUUAUCAAAGUUUAGAAUCCUCCUACCUAUUGAUGGUAGUUGACUGAAACUUGUGAAUGUGAAGUGUUGCUCCAAUACAAAGUUAGCUAGAAAAUCUGCUAAUUGAUUGCCCUCUCUGUAAAUAUAUUGUAUCUACACUUAUUUUGUUGCUAAAAGCUGCCAUAUUUGAUUAAUCUUAUCUACUAA